AGUUCUCCCGCUCUCUCUCCAGGUUUUAGUUCCUCUAUUAACGCUUUGUCGCUGCUCCGCUCGCACCGACUCCGGAGGAGCCACCACCCGCCCGGAGCGGGUCUGCGUCCGCUCUCGGAACCGCCGGAGAAGCUGCAGGAAGAGCGGGGAAGGGCGCACCGUCGGCUGCGAUCACUGGAGGCAAACAUCGAAUUAAUUGGAUCUUGGUGGCUGAGGCUGGUAACAGUGUAUUGAACGGAGUUAUCUGCCACAAUGCCCAGGUGUCUGCCAGAAUGUCAGGACAUUCUAGACCAGUGAAUUGCAGGAAGAGAUUUUUGAGGAACAGUCCUGAGGACCAAGCUGUUCUAACAGCUCUGAAGAAUACUGAAAGUGACAAGGAGUGUCUUGUGGAGCUGUGGAAUCUGUGAGAGCAGUUGUCUGAUCUGAGAAUACACCAAAUAAAGCAUCAUCUUCACUGGAGACUUCCUUGCAUUGCACUGACUAGGUCUCCUUCUCUUUGAUGAUGAGUUUACGGUCUAAAACUCUACUACUUCCUGAGGAAUGUCAUUCUAUAGAUAGUUCUUGCUACUUGAUAAUUUGAUUUAUUUCCUUUACCUAAAAAGGAUUUCUAUCAGUAGCUCCAGUUAUACUGCACAAGGGAGGAACUAUACAUAAGAAUAGAAAAACUAAAAACAUGCCAAGACAAUACAGAGCCUGUGUUAGUUCUCACAGUAUCAGUGUUUGUAAUUCUGCUACAUGGAGAUCUCUGAACUGGGCUUAUCAGGUAAGUCUACUUAGCACAGCAUCAAAUGAAAUGUUAUGUUUCCAGAUCUGACUGGCUGUAGAUACUGUGGUAUCUCUGCAGAGCUGGUGUACUUUAUUUGUAAUUUACUAAUCUAUAAUAAAGUUAUGG
rnacentral:lncRNA from 7 species